rnacentral:rRNA from 1 species
CCUACGGGAGGCAGCAGUGAGGAAUAUUGGUCAAUGGACGAGAGUCUGAACCAGCCAAGUAGCGUGAAGGAUGACUGCCCUAUGGGUUGUAAACUUCUUUUAUAUGGGAAUAAAAUGUUCCACGUGUGGGAUUUUGUAUGUACCAUAUGAAUAAGGAUCGGCUAACUCCGUGCCAGCCGCCGCGGUAAUACGGAGGAGCCGACCGUUAUCCGGAUUUAUUGGGUUUAAGGGGAGCGUAGGUGGAUGGUUAAGUCAGUUGUGAAAGUUUGCGGCUCAACCGUAAAAUUGCAGUUGAAACUGGCAGUCUUGAGUACAGUAGAGGUGGGCGGAAUUCGUGGUGUAGCGGUGAAAUGCUUAGAUAUCACGAAGAACUCCGAUUGCGAAGGCAGCUCACUGGACUGCAACUGACACUGAGGCUCGAAAGUGUGGGUAUCAAACAGGAUUAGAUACCCGUGUAGUC